UACGGGGGGGGCAAGCGUUGUUCGGAAUUACUGGGCGUAAAGGGCUCGUAGGCGGCCAACUAAGUCGGACGUGAAAUCCCCAGGCUCAACCUGGGAACUGCGUCCGAUACUGGAUGGCUUGAAUUCGGGAGAGGGAUGCAGAAUUCCAGGUGUAGCGGUGAAAUGCGUAGAUAUCUGGAGGAAUACCGGUGGCGAAGGCGGCAUCCUGGACCGACAUUGACGCUGAGGUGCGAAAGCGUGGGGAGCAAACAGG
rnacentral:rRNA from 1 species